rnacentral:rRNA from 1 species
GAUGAACGCUGGCGGCGUGCCUAAUACAUGCAAGUCGAGCGAACGGACGAGAAGCUUGCUUCUCUGAUGUUAGCGGCGGACGGGUGAGUAACACGUGGAUAACCUACCUAUAAGACUGGGAUAACUUCGGGAAACCGGAGCUAAUACCGGAUAAUAUUUUGAACCGCAUGGUUCAAAAGUGAAAGACGGUCUUGCUGUCACUUAUAGAUGGAUCCGCGCUGCAUUAGCUAGUUGGUAAGGUAACGGCUUACCAAGGCAACGAUGCAUAGCCGACCUGAGAGCGUGGUCGGCCACACUGGAACUGAGACACGGUCCAGACUCCUACGGGAGGCAGCAGUAGGGAAUCUUCCGCAAUGGGCGAAAGCCUGACGGAGCAACGCCGCGUGAGUGAUGAAGGUCUUCGGAUCGUAAAACUCUGUUAUUAGGGAAGAACAUAUGUGUAAGUAACUGUGCACAUCUUGACGGUACCUAAUCAGAAAGCCACGGCUAACUACGUG